UCCUCCAUGGCGCAAUUGGCUAGCGCGUCUGACUGUUAUUGGGGAUAUUAUUCUCGAGACAUCAGGAGGUUCGUGGUUCGAGCCCACGUGGGGGAG